GUAGCCGGCAUNGCAAGUNUUCGGUUAAAUCCACCUGCUCNACAGAUGGGCCGCUGGAGAUACUACAAUGCUAGGGAGUGGGAGAGGCAGACGGUAUUCANUGGGUAGGGGUAAAAUCCUCUGAUCCAUUGAGGACCACCAGUGGCGAAGGCGGUCUGCCAGAACACGUUCGACGGUGAGGGAUGAAAGCUGGGGGAGCAAACCGGAUUAGAUACCCGGGUAGUCCCAGCUGUAAACGAUGCAAACUCGGUGAUGCAUUGGCUUAUGGCCAAUGCAGUGCCGCAGGGAAGCCGUUAAGUUUGCCGCCUGGGAAGUACGGACGCAAGUCUGAAANUUAAAGGAAUUGGCGGGGGAGCACCACAAGGGGUGAAGCCUGCGGUUCAAUUGGAUUCAANGCNGGA
rnacentral:rRNA from 1 species